AUGCCAUGCAUUUCAAAUUUCGGCAUGCUGCAUUCAAGCUUCUUCUGUCUGCUUCAUCCUCCGCUCCUCGAACACGCAAGAAGCACAAAACAAAAAUUGCAAAGACUGUCUGAGUCUGUCCCUUCGGCUGUGUGCUAUUGGCCUCUUAGCAAACUGCUGCUGCUGCCGUAUUGCUGCCUUUCUUCCUUCAAUAACUCCGCUUCUAUCAAGGCAGUUGUUGUUAUCAGGACUCCUGUUUGGCCCAGCUGUUAUUUCGGGAUGCUGUGCACAGGCACCAGGAAGUCGUUCCCCCGCCCAUUGCCAUGGCGAUGAAGCCCUCGGGCUCUCGGCUCCCACUCUGCCUGGUGGAAGGGGGCACACUGGUGGGAGGAUUCCUCCGGCUCCAGGGAAACGUAGGCUGGGCCUUAAUAUCUUGGUUCUGCCUGGCUUUCCAAAGGGAUCCUCACUGCCGUUUAAUGGACACCUCAAAGAAAUGUGUGUGGGCAAAGCCCUUCCUUGUGCACGAGCUCAGAACGCAGUUUGGGGACCUGACUGCUCUGUAGCAUCUGUGCGCUGAUCGCCUCCUCCCUCCUGUGCAUGGGGUCAAUGAGGAGGGACCAGCGCUGCUGCUCUACCAGGGCACACCACCAAGGGACACCACUGGUGGCUGGGGACAGGAGCGUGGGGGUUUGUUCUGUUCUGGCUCUGCUUUGGUGAGCUCUUUCCCUUUACCAUCCUAGGAAAGAGGUGGGAAAGACAGAAGUCGGUGGGCAAGGGGCAGGUAACAAAUCCAGUUUGAAUCUGCUCACCUGACAGCCAACAGCUGUAAAAGUGAGGAGAGGAACAGAUGUGGCUGUGGAUAAUGAGACCUCGCUGAGCUGCAGUACAUCCCAGUGCUUCUGCACAAAAGCCUGUUCCUAACGUGUUGGCACACGUCCCCUUCGUUGCCCAUUAUCACUGCAUCUGUGUUACUGGCAUGCCCUCUUGCUCUUCCCUUGGCAUCACCUUGCUCUGCCUCACCCGAGGCAAGGCAGAAACUUGGCCAGAUCUGGUAAGGGAAGGUGGGCAGGCUACUACGACUACCCGUGGGACCAGGAUGGACAUAGACACAUACACCAAAAGUGAUUCAAACCACAGGCCCUAAAGGGCUGUGUGGCUCUGACCCCGUAAAUAUUUUGGGGGGAGUUAGGGGCUGCAGCCAUGCCCCUCCUUUCUACCUGUGCUAGUUUAGGUGUCACGCCUACAUCUUUAAUCUCCUUUAGCCACAUAAGAAAACAAAGUCUUUCACUCUCAGGCAUCACAGCUGCUGGAGCUUAAGCUCAUUUCUGACGGCAGAAUAAUGAGUUGUAUGUAGCACAGAGCAGGUAUAUAUCAAACAGAACCGAGAACAGAGGGGAGGGUAAAGCAGGAGAUGAUGAGAACUCGAAACAAGGAGAUACGAUUAGAAAUUUCCCUGCUGAUGAGAAACGGCUGAAAGUAAAGGCAACGUCCUGGCACUAGCAGCAUCCCUCCAAUACAACACACGGAGUCCAACGGGGCAGCACUUAGGUGUGUACUGUCUGAACAACACUUGUUUCUGUGGGGCAGCUGGGAUCUGAGGGAUGUUUUCAGCUGGAAAAAAAAUAAAAAAAUAAAAUAAUAAGAAAAAAAAGCA
rnacentral:lncRNA from 1 species